CUAUCAAGUGGAUUCCAAGAAUGUGGUCAUCCUGACCCAGCUCAUUCAAAUUCAUUUGUCUCGUGAUAAGAAUUAUAGACAGAAUACACCAGGUGUACAGAAGAAGACAAAUAGUUCAGAUGUCUAUGUGGAACCACUAAGGUGGCAUUGCUUGAUGCCUCAGACAAGAAUCUAAACUUGGUGGUUGCUAGUGCAACCUGGCCUAGCAGAUCCUGUGCUGUGUUGGAGGAAGAACUCUGGCAACCGCCUGCUUGGAUAUUUCUGCCCUUGUGUGCAGCCAGAUUUACAGCACCACAAACAUGAGGAAAUGAUAUCCAAAAAGGAACUUCACAGAAAUACCAUGCUGAUAAGUGAAUAGCAAUUUUUUGUAAAGAGCAGUUGACUUUGCAGACUGACCACAAAUGGAUUUUGGGUAAAAGCUGGGGGUUUUCCAUCAAAAAGCUGAAAAACGGCAGAGAAACAGAGGAUGUCUUAUUAUCUCUGGUUGAGGGCCAAGUCACCAAGCCAUCUUGGUCAAUCCUCCUCCUCCUUUGGUGCUCACACGCAGUGCUCAAGACUGUCUGCAGCCCCCUAGCCAAGCCUGGCUUUCCACCAUCUGCACCACACAACCUUUUCUUUGUGCCUGCUGCUGCUGUUCAGGGUGCUGCCAGUUCAAAUGGCAAACAUGGAUACAAAGCAUUACCAAAAGCAAAGCCUCGUGUGGAGGGGACAGUGUGCAUCUGGACCUGGUCCAAGGAGGGCCUUGGAAAAAUUAGAAUAUACUACAGCUAUACCUUUCAAAUCAAGAGUCAAGUUCUCCUGUGCAUGAACUCAGGCAAACAGUAGAAAGCGGCCUACAUGACAAGAAGUAUCAGAAGAAAUAAGAUGUAACAAAACAGAAAAAUCACCAGCGGAUUAAGACCAAGAAAAUGGUACGGGCCUUUGCUUCAAGAGAAGGGCUAUGACCUGGUGGUGUGAAAUUACUGUUUCGAAAUCUUUCCCUUCAUAUUUGACAUUUGCUUUACACCUGCCCAGGAGCUCUGACCCAUCUCUCAUGAACAAACUCUAAGCAUAAGAGAGCACAAGUGAAGGAUAUGAAGAAUGAAGAGGGAAAGCACCAACUGAUGGGAAAAGUCCUCUCUUUAAUGAACCAUAAGCCUUCCAGCCUGAGGAGUUGUCUAUGGCUCACAGUGGAACGGGAGUGCUGGGGUGGAUGAGAGGGCUUGGAGUGGUGCACCUUCCCUGACCUGGUCAUAUAUGCUCCUUGUGACCUUUGAUUAAAUACUAGUUGUUUCUCUCUGAAAAUCAUUUGCUUUCCACCUACUGUGUCAGUCCUCAGAAAAGCUUGCCUUGGAAAAAAAAGGCCUGGUCAUCAGCCU